rnacentral:rRNA from 1 species
AUUGAACGCUGGCGGAAUGCUUUACACAUGCAAGUCGAACGGCAGCACGGGAGCUUGCUCCUGGUGGCGAGUGGCGAACGGGUGAGUAACAUAUCGGAACGUAUCCAAUAAUGGGGGAUAACUAAGCGAAAGCUUGGCUAAUACCGCAUACGCCCUGAGGGGGAAAGUUAGGGAUCUUCGGACCUGGCGUUAAUGGAGCGGCCGAUAUCUGAUUAGCUAGUUGGUGAGGUAAAGGCUCACCAAGGCGACGAUCAGUAGCUGGUCUGAGAGGACGACCAGCCCCACUGGAACUGAGACACGGUCCAGACUCCUACGGGAGGCAGCAGUGGGGAAUUUUGGACAAUGGGCGCAAGCCUGAUCCAGCCAUUCCGCGUGAGUGAAGAAGGCCUUCGGGUUGUAAAGCUCUUUCGCAAGGGAAGAAAGAUUACGCUCUAACAUAGCGUGAUUAUGACGGUACCUUGAUAAGAAGCACCGGCUGACUACGUGCCAGCAGCCGCCGUAACAC